GACGAACGUUGGCGGCGUGCUUAAUACAUGCCAGUCAACUGAAGCAGUGGUAGCAAUAUCGCUGUGGAGGUGGCGCACGGGUGAGUAACACGUAGGUAAUCUGCCUUCAGGUCUGGCAUAACUCCGGGAAACCGGGGCUAAUAGCAGAUGAUGCAGCGGCUCGACAUCGAGACAGUUGUUAAAGCUAUGGCGCCUGAAGAUGAGCCUGCGUCUGAUUAGCUAGUUGGCGGGGUAACGGCCCACCAAGGCAACGAUCAGUAGCUGGUCUGAGAGGAUGAUCAGCCACACUGGAACUGAGACACGGUCCAGACUCCUACGGGAGGCAGCAGUAAGGAAUAUUGCUCAAUGGGAGAAAUCCUGAAGCAGCAACGCCGCGUGAGGGACGAAGGGCUUUGGCUUGUAAACCUCUGUAGUGAGAGAAAAAAAUCCCAAUCUUUGGGACAUGAUGGUAGCUCAAAAGUAAGCCCCGGCUAACUACGUG
rnacentral:rRNA from 1 species